rnacentral:rRNA from 1 species
UCAGUAACACGUAGUCAACAUGCCCAGUGGACGUGGAUACCUCGGGAAACUGAGGAUAAACCGCGAUAGGUCACUACUUCUGGAAUGGGUAAUGACUAAAACCUAUAUGGCCCCUGGAUUGGACUGCGGCCGAUCAGGCUGUUGGUGAGGUAAUGGCCCACCAAACCUGUAACCGGUACGGGCUCUGAGAGGAGGAGCCCGGAGAUGGGCACUGAGACAAGGGCCCAGGCCCUAUGGGGCGCAGCAGGCGCGAAACCUCUGCAAUAGGCGAAAGCCUGACAGGGUUACUCUGAGUGAUUUCCGUUAAGGAGAUCUUUUGGCACCUCUAAAAAUGGUGCAGAAUAAGGGGUGGGCAAGUCUGGUGCCAGC